rnacentral:rRNA from 1 species
UACGUAGGGGGCGAGCGUAGUCCGGAUUUAUUGGGAGUAAAGAGCGUGUAGGCGGACGAGCAGGUCCGUUGUGAAAACUGAAGGCUCAACCUUCAGAGGUCGAUGGAAACCGUUCGGCUAGAGUCCGGAAGAGGAGAGUGGAAUUCCUGGUGUAGCGGUGAAAUGCGCAGAUAUCAGGAAGAACACCCGUGGCGAAAGCGGCUCUCUGGGACGGUACUGACGCUGAGACGCGAAAGCGUGGAGAGCGAACAGG